UGACGGAAGAUUCUGACCAGGCUCCCAGUUAGAACCUUACUUCCAUUCUAAUAGUUCUGUCCUAGUGCAGAAUUAUCAGGGGAAGACAACUCAUGGUCCCUUUUCACAGAAUCAGCUACUGUAUUGUGAAGUGGAGAGGUCAUAACAGCCACUUUGACAGCUUUUAUCAAAUGGUUAAAGGAGACAAGAUAAGUGUGAUAUUAAGGUGCUGGAAAGGAAUGUGUCAGAUGGGUAAAUUGAGUAGCGUACCAGGAUCAGUCAACGAAUAUCCAUGGGAUUAUGAAAUUAUAUUCUACCAUAUGUUUCAAAAUCCUUAGAUUUGUGUGAUGCUGCCAGGCUUGCUCAGUCUCUCCAGCAUUUAAGAUUAGAUCAUACACCGUUCUUUAUUCACUUAUUUGAUUAAAAAAAAUGUUUUUAAAGUGGGAGCAAGAAAGAAGUGAUGAUAUCUCUAAUAUUGUAGUAUGUUUCAAGUCCACUAUCAACAGAGGUGUAUCAUAAUAUGUCUGACCAGAUUAAUUUGAAACAUUUUUAUUAUGAGGGAAAAGGUGGUACUGAGGGCUGGUAAGAGCUACGCAGCCGA